rnacentral:rRNA from 1 species
UAGGGAAUAUUGGUUAAUGUGCGAAAGUGCGAACCAGCAACGCCGCGUGUGCGAUGAAGGCCUUCGGGUCGUAAAGCACUUUUUGCAGGGAAGAGGAAGGACGGUACCUGCAGAAUAAGUCUCGGCUAGCUACGUGCCAGCAGCCGCGGUAAAACGUAGGAGACGAGCGUUAUCCGGAUUUACUGGGCGUAAAGCGCGUGCAGGCGGCAUGGCAAGUUGGAUGUGAAAGCUCCCGGCUUAACUGGGAGAGGUCGUUCAAUACUGCCAGGCUUGAGAGUGGUAGAGGGAAGCGGAAUUCCGGGUGUAGUGGUGAAAUGCGUUGAUAUCCGGAGGAACACCAGUGGCGAAAGCGGCUUCCUGGCCCAUUUCUGACGCUCAGACGCGAAAGCUAGGGUAGCAAACGG